rnacentral:rRNA from 1 species
GACGAACGCUGGCGGCGUGCCUAAUACAUGCAAGUAGAACGCUGAAGAGAGGAGCUUGCUCUUCUUGGAUGAGUUGCGAACGGGUGAGUAACGCGUAGGUAACCUGCCUUGUAGCGGGGGAUAACUAUUGGAAACGAUAGCUAAUACCGCAUAACAAUGGAUGACACAUGUCAUUUAUUUGAAAGGGGCAAUUGCUCCACUACAAGAUGGACCUGCGUUGUAUUAGCUAGUAGGUGAGGUAAUGGCUCACCUAGGCGACGAUACAUAGCCGACCUGAGAGGGUGAUCGGCCACACUGGGACUGAGACACGGCCCAGACUCCUACGGGAGGCAGCAGUAGGGAAUCUUCGGCAAUGGGGGCAACCCUGACCGAGCAACGCCGCGUGAGUGAAGAAGGUUUUCGGAUUGUAAAGCUCUGUUGUAAGUCAAGAACGGGUGUGAGAGUGGAAAGUUCACACUGUGACGGUAGCUUACCAGAAAGGGACGGCUAACUACGUG